ensembl:lncRNA
AGGCGGCGGCGGCGGCGCUCGGGAGAGUCCGUGCUUCCCCUCCCCCAGCGCUGCCGUUGCCGCGUCGCUUCCCCUUCCCUUCCCCCCCGUAACCCCGCGCGUGAGGGCGUAGCCGCCGCCGAGGAAGGUUCUCGUUGCUCUCCCUCUUCCCCGCCCCUCUCCCGGGUGUAGCUGCGCUCGGGGGAGGCCCUCCAUCCGCCCUCCGCUGCCGUAGCGCCCUCCUCGGCCUCCCCUCCCCGAUGUAAGUCAGGCUCCGAGUAACCGACCGGGCUCCGAGCCCCUACACAGGGUUCUGGGCCCUGUGAAGUGACCUCAUUACAGUUGUGCGGCGUUGUGGCGGAGCGUGUGGCACUGGGGGGGGGCUGAGGGAAGGGCCGGAGCCUGCUCACAUCUCUGCUCUGUGGGAACGGCGCUGCUGGGUGGGAAAGGCAGUGCCAGUGUUCUUUGUGUGCUGGUGGAUCCUGACGGAGGAGCAGUGUGGCAUGCGUUACUGUUAGGCCGAAGAGGGCCUGCACUGUUAGCACAGGGAUUUAGAUGCGUGUGCAGGGAAAACGGACCUGUGUCAUGCAGGUACUGUGAGUGUCCCUUGUCUUGCUGCAGGAGGGUUGCUGGAGAAGGAUCUGGUAGCACGAGUCUGGCCUGGGAUUUCUGUAGCCUUAAAAUAUAUUUUCUGGCUCUGUAUUUUAUCUCAGGAUUCGGGGGGGGAGGGGAGGGUGAAAAAUGUAUGUUUUCCAAUUCUAACACGUUUUUCUUCUCAAGGAGUGCGGCACAUUGUACUGUUUGGGUGGGGUGCUCAUGCGUUCAGAGCAGUUUGGUGCUGGUUCCCAUAUCUCUUUUUCAUAUGGUACAACGUAACGUGAGCCUCUGCACCUGACCCAGAAAGCAAACUUAACAGCUAAAAUUGCUGAGGCGAAUGAUGGUGAUCUGUUAAAUUUAGAAAUGUUUGGCAGCGCGUUUCCAGUCUUAAUACGUUCACAGGUGUGGUUUGUUUCUUUUCUGUGCAGUGGCAACCUGGUGGGGCAUGAAGCUUGAAUUUCUGGUGGAUGCGUUAUGUUAAAACGACUGGAAUGGAAGUUAUUGAGUAUGUGACUAAUGUAGAAGAAUCCUGUAUAAUAGACACUACUUAAUGUGUUACAUAAGUAACGUGAGGUGGAGCCUGGUUGCAUAAGAAACAGCUGGGAAUGGGGGAGCUGCUGUACGCAGUCCGUAUUAGCUGCAAUUAGAGCCUGCAGGUUAUGUGUGCUGGGGAGGGGAGCAGUGGGCUUGGACAUCUGAUAGUGCUACAUUUUUCCUUUGUACCAGGAAAGAAAUAGAGAGAGUAAUAAAGGAUGACAGUGCAAAGCUUUUUGAAGUUUGGAAUCUCAUCUGAGCUUAACUUCUGUGAUGUAUGCUGCUUCCUGAAAGAAACCCCCCUUUUUUUGCAUGUCAGAUGGUGGCUGUCAGCUGAGCCUUGCAGCAGCCAGUUCUGUGCAGGGUACUGCAAAGAGCAGGAUUCUUGAUCCUAGAGGUUGUUAACGCUGUUCAGAAAAACGAAGCAGUGGAAGUAGUGUUAGGAGGAGGCCGUUGGUUUGUUGACCCAACAUGUAAGUGACUGGAUUAUUGUUUCUUCCUGUAUAGACAUACUAUAGCACAAGGUAAAUAAUCCCUUUGUAAUAGAAUCUUCUAGAGAAGCUUCUAGAGCGCAGCAAUUCUUACGAGAUAGAACAGAUUUUAUUUGGGACCUGACAUGAAUAUUUCCUGGCUAUGUACUUAGUGGAGAGUGUUAAUGUGAACUGAAGAUGACGAAAAACACGUUCUACUUCAUUAGCACUUGCAUUUAGGCUUGCAGUCCAUGAUUACAGAGUGGGGAGCAGUUGUCUCUCUCACUGUAAGGGAACAAACUGAAUACUUACGUUCUUACAUAAGUAGCUCAUAGAAUACUCAGAAAUCAAAAGUUUCUAUGUGGUAGAGAGCUUCAAUUUGUAAAGAAGCCUUUUAGUCAGCACCUAUUAAUACCAGAUUUAGUUUUAGGAAUUAAGAGCUGAACUUUCUUAAAAGUUCUGUGUAAUGGGUAGCUUGUCGCAGAAGCACUCGAACUGCAGAGUCCUUCUGUUCUUAUGACACAACAGAAAUGAAGGAAUACUCUAAUAAUAAUAUUUUUGUUUGUUUCAGGGCAGACCUGUUAGCUGUUUUCAGGGAAGCACUGUCUUCUUUGAGAAGUGAUAACUUUCGUGGUGGUGUAGCACAGUCUUGAAAUUAUGUCUGUGAUGUAUUCUGAAAUUACUUCUGCUGCAGAUGAAUAACAGCAAAUGCACAUACUGCUUUGAGACAGAAACCUAUGGGAAGGGGAUUUGCUUGAAGGCCAGUCUGUAAGCUGUGCCUUUAUCUGGAAGGUAUGGGAAACAAAGGAAGCUGUAGGAGAGGGAGGUGUUUAAAAAGUAGUUCGUAUUUAUGGUAGCCAACCAGGGAGAGAAACAGUUUCUACUUAACUGUAAUUCUUCCCUUUUACUGAAGGCAUUUCAAUUGGCUGUGUGUUCUCCAGCAUUGAGACCUGUGGUCCUAACUUGCUGCGGUAGCCUGUCUGUGCAUGUGUAUAUGGUUUGUGCUUUUGCUAAGACCUGUUAUUUAAACAGUACUGUUUACAGUACUAGUCGUAUGAAGACUGACAAGAGUUCAAGGGUACGUAGAGGAGAAGGGAGAGAGGGAUACGAAGCGUAAUAGAUCCGAGUGUGCAUUAAUGCCAUAGCUGAAGCAGUGCUCAUACUGAAAGAUGAUCCUGUACCUCUUCCCAGCUGUUCAUUCUUGCUUCUACGCUACUCCCCCCCCCCCUUUUUUUUUUUUUUGGAAUGGCACAAGUGUUCAUGUGGGAAGUGGCACAGGAGAACAGAUUUAGUGUAAGCCUGAUUAGAAUGGAUCAUUUUUUAAUGUGAAGGUUGGCUGCAUGGCUUCACAAACAGUCCUGCUUGAACAGGAAUAGGAAGAAGCAGCUGCAGGGAGAAAGAAUGGAGAUGUGCAAGUUUUACCUGUUUGGUUUUUUUUUUUCCCUUAUUAAAGAGGCAAUUCUUAAGGAAUCGAAGUGGCAAAUCCUAACGGCAGUUUUAGAGUCAGAAUCACUAUAAUCCUUGCUUAAGGAGUUGGGCAUAUUUUUUUUAAAAAUGUAUGUAAGGUAUUACUAGGUUGACCUACAGUUGUAGGAACAGCAGGUGGCAGGGUCAUUUCAGAUGCAUUGAUAGGAUAACCUACAAAAAUGUUCCGGCUAAAGCUGGGAAAGAACAGAAUUCCAGUUAAGAGUUCACAGGACUUUUGAACUUAAUGAGCUUAUUUCAUUGGAACAGCAUGGAACUUGAGGGAGGCUUUCUUGCUCCUGAAGUGAUUGGUAAUGUAAUAACUGAACCGCUUGGUGAAGAAUUAGUUGUACUGGAAGAGUUCUAAGCUAAUCUUUAAAAAAAAACUUGUCAUCUCAGUGGGUCACAAUGGUCUCUUGUCAAAUUAGUAUGUGUUGCUUGCACGUCCAGUGACUUUCUACUGAGCAGAAACCAAUCAGUGUCAACAGAUAUUUCCACCUGGAUUUGGAAGGACUGUUUGAAGAGCAGCAGGACAGGAGCAUCCUUUGCGUGCAACUUGAGGGUUUGUGUUAGGAUAAGCUUUAGUUGACUCAGAAGGAGUAGUAAGGGUUCUCUUGUGGUCAAGCGUGGAAGCACUGUUUGACAGCUUGUUAAUGAUGUACAAAUAUGCAGCAUUCCUUUUUCAACAGUAAAGUGCAGCUGCAAUGCAGCAUUACUUAAUGUUUCUAGAAAGGAUUAACUUCAGAAGACUGCUGUAGUCCUGGUCAGUGUGGCCUAUUCAAAAGUACACAAUUAGGAUGUCUAACUGCUGUAUUCAGAGUGGGAAGCUUUCUGACUGGCUACAAUCAUGUUUCCUUCUUGCUAACCUCAGUAGGUUGACAACUAAUGAAACAUUGUGUUGGUGAAGCUUUGUACAAUUCUUUGUACAAUGAUUAGUAUAUGUACUUCUUCUUGGUUGGUUGUCGUGUUCAGGUCUUUGGUAGCCACUGGGUGCAAUGCUAAUACACUUGCAAUAUACCAAACCCUUACGAGUCCAAGGCUAACUUGUGUGGCCAAUCUGGGGUGUCACUGUCAAAACUAGUGGGGGGGACACAAGAAGAGGGAAGAGCUGUGUGGAAAAUAAGUACUUGACAUCUAGUUCUGUCUUGUUCCUGCCUCCCAUGUUUCUGCCCUCCCCGAUUAGAUCACUGUCAUGUGGUUCCCUAAAUUUAAGUGAAAAAUGAACUGGAGAUUUAUAGUUGUGCUGCUGUUAGUGUAACCUAAGCUGUAGCUUUGGUCCGGUCUUCUACCAGGAUAAUUCUCUUCUAAGUGCUGAACUGGGGUAGUUGUGCUGCUCCAUUUUGGGCUGUAAUGUUUGUACUGCUGUCUUAUCUGAGACAGGAGGUGUCCCUCCAGGAAAAACAACGGGCCUUCUAAUUAAAAGACUUAUUGAGAGCAUGUUUUUUAAUACUGUUACUACCCCUGUACUGAUUUCGAAGGCUGCUUUUUGAUGAAAUGAAACUGUUGCUUUUGUCAAGGUAGUACUGCACACUGAAUUUGUCUCCAGAGCUGCGUGCCAUCAUCUCAGUGCUCAUACACUGGAGCAGGCAUAUCGUAAGCUUAUAAAGGCAUGCUGGGCAGUUGUGAGAUCCUAUUUUUAAACUGCUUCUGAGAAACACUUCUGUCUACUGUCUCUGCACAAGCAUAGGAAAGAAUAUACUUCAUCUAGGAGCCACGGUGUCUGCGCUCAACUGACAGCAGUUUUUGAACUUGAAGUGUCUCCUCUUUAGAAGAGAUAAUACAUUUGAAUCUGUGCUGAUUUCUUCUGGGGAGGGGAAAUGACCGUAACGAAGAGGUAGUGGCAGUGGGCCUUUGAGUUCUUGACUUCACGUACCUGUAGCAAGAGAUGGAUUUGUGGUACCUGACAGAGUAACCAAAUGUGAAGAGGAAGAAAUUGGGUUGUUGAAUCACCUGCUUUGCUGUGCUUAAAAAUGCAGGAAUGUUUUUGGUGGUACCUCUUGUGAUGAGUCUGGGACAUAGCAGGUUUUCUUAGCCUGCUGCUGACUUGUGAAAACUAUUACUGUAAUUCUGUAAUACUACCAUGUCAUACCCUUAAAUUUCCAUUGACUUGAAAAUUGCAUAAAAAUGCAGGUGGGUUUUAUAUGCAAGUAAAAUAGUUUUUCAAGGUUUUUCUUCUCUUUCCCAGAUCAUCUACUUAAGGCUAAACUUUAAAUAUAAACACUGAAUGUAGGUGUGCAGCAUUCUUGCUGUAGCACUGAGGGACUCCUGAAAUUGGAGGACUUUUUCAGGGUGUAUAUAUAGUAUGUUGUUUGGGGCAAAAAUAGGGAAUAUAAAGGAAGCAUUUAGAUUGUUUUCUUUCUUUUAAAUUUGGUGAGCAGGAAUAUUUCAGAUGAGGCUAAGUACUAUGAACAAGAAGAAAAAAACAUGCUGCUGUCAGAUGGAUUAUAGAGAGCAAAUUCAACCUACUGAAUUCUACAUGUCUUAGAGCUUUUUCAUCAGGUGACUCCUAAAACUACAGUUGGUAGUGUAGACCUAAUUAAUGGGAGGGAAUGGUUGUCACAAGGUAUUAUUAGGACUGUGUCCUGAAGGCUGUAGUUAAGCCUGCACUAUUUCUCAGAGUUGACUGUGCGUAUUUCUGUUUCACUAUUUUUUCUGGAACAGGCAAGCUGCUCUUCUACCAUUUCCCCCCGGCUAUUGUGCUGCAAGUACUAUUGGUCUUGCAAGCAGCUGUUAGCUACGUUGGUUUAUCUUUUAAUUCAGUAGCAUAACUCCUUGGUAAUCCUGUUCAAGUAAAUAGGAGUAGUUAUCUGCUGUUCUUCUUGGUGUUGGUUAUCCAGAUUUUGCCUUCUAGGCCAAAUGCUAGAACGUACUUGGAGAGCUUUUUGUUAAAGCUGUCAUAACCCCAUCCUACAGUUAGCAAAGCAAGGUGAUCGUUUGGGGAGUAUGACACUUUCUCCUGCUUACGUCACUUUACUUAAACAUAUCUUAAUUUUAGUAAUGCAGUGAUACUGCAACAAUGUUCCAGCAGCUCUACCCACUUUAGUAAGUUAGUGAGAAUAUUCAGGCAGCACUCAGGGCCUGUUCUGUUCACUUUAAUGGCUCUGCUACCUAGUCUGAUCAGAACUAUAGGCCUACAUCGCAAACUUUCCACUUGACUAAUGCUCACAUCCUUACAGUAUAUUUUGUAAGUAGCACAGCACAAAGUAAGCAGAGAUCAAACUGUCUGUAGCUGCUCCUAUCUAGAUGUGACUUGCUGGAAGGUACUUCUGCUUGUCUUUAAGUGCUGCAUAAUGCAUGGAUUUGUCCAAUAGGCAGCCUGUGUAUUUGACAGGAAGUGUCUUAUGCUUCUCCUUUUUGCUUGAAUAGCGUUGAACAGCAAUUAUACACUGAUUGUGCUCAUUACAAGUAAAUUCCACAUCCUGUUUAGAAUAGGAUGUACAUAUGAACAAGUACAAAACAUCUGUUGCAUCUUCCUAGAAAUAGCAUCUUGCAAACUUAGAUAUUUCAGCUUCACAGCUGUUCAGAAGCUGUUCUGUAUUUAAAAUUCAAAGCCUUUAAAGGUUGUAUGAAAUAACAGUUUAAAAUAAGUCGCUUUUUCUUUUUUUUUCCCCAGUAUGAUGUAAAAAUACUGUUCUGGAGUUGAUGCUUCCUGCCCUUCUGGGUCAUCAGUCUGUUCAGUGGUGUUCUCCACUCCAUACAGACUAUCAGAGUUAAAAAACAAACAAACCUGGACUGGUUGUUGAAAAGUCCAGUAGAUUUUUCUGUUUCUGCACCUUUCUAAAACCCUACAUUGAGUCUGAUUUUUGGAUGUGCCCACUUGGCCUUGGAGCAAAUAAGAGGUUUUACAACUGUUCAGAAACUCUUUUACUGUAGCUCUUAAGAUGGAAUCUUGCUCUACUUGUCAUACGAUAAAUAAUGAGAUGCUUUGUUGAACUCAGUUGUUUUUCCUUUACAUUUGUUUAACAUGCGAGCAUUGAGACUUAGGUUUUUUUGACAGUUCAGUUAAGCAAGAACAUGUCUGACUUGUGUUAUUUGUUACAAGCUCCCUUGAUGUGGAAUAUUCCCUGUUCAGAGGAGACUCCUGGCCUUCUUGUCUUUUGCAGGAAAGAAAGGAUGAAAUGCAUUCUCUUGCAAGCAGACUUUAAAAAUGUCAGGUAUCCAUUAAAUCUGGUUAAACAAACUGUUCUUCAGUGCAUGAAAGAUGAAAGGGUCAAAAGCCAGCAUAUCAAUACAUGUGGAUGGCCGUGCUUACAAAUAUUUACAGACUACCGAAGGGAGGAUGGUGAGUGAAGGCUUCUACAGGUUAAGGCAUCUGUUUAGAGGAAAGAGUAAAAGUAGAGAUGGGUUGAAGCAAAGAGUGUAUUCCCAGUGCUAACUGGAGGUGUUUUUAAAAAACAAACAACAAAAAAGAGCACCUGAGUGAAAUUUGUCUGUAUUGGGCAGAAAAUGAGCAGGCCUAACCUGUACUUCUUGAACAGCAUACAACUUUUAAGUACCUUCAGGCUAUGUCUAGAGUCAAUUGUAGAAUUGAUUAGAACAGAGGUAUUGUAUGCAAGUGCAGAGUUUUAAAUGACUGAAAGUUUGGAGGAGAAUCUUCUCUGUAUGGAAAACAUCCCUAUUUCAAACACUUGUGCUGCAUUGUGCAUCACAUGAUUGCUGGUUGUUGUGUAAUAGGAAAGCAUGGGUAGUUUUUUUGUUUUUUUGUUUCUUCCAUUCAUCUUAGGGAGCUUGUGAAGGGAAACAUAGAGUGGGGUUGUUUUUAGCUAUAAUUUCCUUUCUUCUGGGAGCUCAUAUCUGAACUGUCAUGGAUUUCUAGCACUUAAUCUGCCAGGUGGAAUACCUUGGUUUCCUGCCUAUAUAGGCAAUUUAAGUAUGCUCUGGGGGUAGUGGGCAACUUGAAGCCCUCUUUCCAUGAGGUGAGGAGAAUGUUUAUUGAUGGUUUCCUUCCCUAGUUUUCUGCGUGGGUGCAGCUAGGUGUGCUUCGCUGUGCCAUGGGGUUAGCACAUAAGAUCUACUUAAGCUCAAGUUUAAGGGCUCUUAAUUUCAAAACUUAAGAUAGUUUUGUUGGCAUUUGAAUGAUAGUGUGAGUUAUUUCUAAACAUCAAAGGAAAGUAACCAUGCUGGAGACUUAAGUUCGUCAAAGAGCUGCAAUUUUACAUCCAAAUUCCCACUUGUCAGCCAGACUAAUGCAAAAUCAGCUUGCAUAUUUCCUGUGCAGUGAAUGGAUAGUGUGAAGUACAUAAGCCUGGAAACCAGCUGAAUGGAAAGGAGGAAGAUUGGCCAAGAGUAAACAAAAAGAGGUGUUGAGUUGUAUCUGUGUUUUACUUUGAGUGCUGUUUUGAAGCUAGAUGUUCAUACCAAACUCAACUUUGUCCAGCUUUUUGCAAUGGCAGAUGUUCUAACCAGAUCAGUGGCCUUGUUACAUGGAGAUGGGAUGAUGAAGCCUCUAAGUAAGCCCUGAAAUAUUGUGCAUGUUCUGCAUCACCUAAAAUUGUCUGUAGGAUAUAAGCAGUCACUUUUUCUUUACUAGUCACAGUUUGUAGGAAUUUAGCUUAUGCUUAUGGGUAGAAGUCAUGGAAAAUGUGUUCAGCGGCAGCAAACUGUAUGUGUUCUUUUCAGUCUUUUUCACUCACACUGUUUGCAUUUACUUUGAGUUUUCUCUAGGAUGUGGUACCCAGCAUAAAUACAAAGGUGUUUGUUUUCUUUCUCUUCCCAUGUGGAAUAGAAACUGUUAAAACUGCUGAUUUUUUUCCCUUCAGUGCAAGAGGUGCCUGAAAGGUGAAAGUCAGUGCUUGAUUCCACAAGUCCGAGUCCUGUCAUCUGUACUUGCUGCUUAACUGACUUCUCAGAUACGAACAGAAAAAAAGAGCUGUAGUUUAAAAAUAUAACAACAAGCUCAUUUCUGCCCUCUGAAAGUAAACUUUCCUGGGACAACCUCCUGAUCUGUUUGGAAAAUGAGAAAAAGAUUCUGGGCAAAAAGCAAGGCUUCUGUGAUUGUUUGCCCGGAGUGUAAAUAUUUCAUGCUUCUCUGAAUGCUUGUGUGGCCUAAAUCUUGCAGCACUGCCAUCUCAGCUAUUCUUAGGUUUGGGGACCAGGAGAAGUGCUCGUUUCCUGUCUUCCCCUCCCCCAGAAUCUCAGUUACCUUGAACAAGGAGGAAAAACGCAACCCGCAGCUGCUUUAUCAGUUCCAGCUGAAGAAUGAUGCCAGUCUGUCCUCACCUGUUGUGGAAGGAGUAGGACAGCAUAGCAGUUACACUGCAGCACUCUACCUAUUUUCUUUUCCAGGAAUGCAAAGGCAUUGCACUUCUCAACUAAUAUUAGAAUGCAGCUUAUCUGAGAGUUAUACGUGGCUUCUCCAAAGUGUGGUUAUUACAACUCAUAACUAGAUCUACUUCUCUGAUUGCCGUCUUUGGAACUUUGAUGCUGUGCACAGGCCUGAGCAACGUGAGAAAUCAGUGAAACAGAGUGUCAUAGUACCCCUUAGUGUAGUGUGAAUGUAUGUAGGUAACAGCCAUUAGUGUCUGUCAGCUGCUGCUUCUCAUCCAUAGUUACAAAUUACUUGUACACGUAGGAGCGAUUUAUAGGUACAGGUAGCAGCGCCUGUUUAGUCUCUGCAAUGUCAAACUGCUUCCCUACUUAAAAAAACAGCACACAAACAAAAAAGCCUCCACCAACAACCAUACAAAUCUUAAUUGCCAGCUUGAGCCAUAGCAGUAUGAGGAAGUCCAUGGUAGCCCCUCUGGUUUUCUCCUAAGGGAGAAAUUUAAAACAAAAGAAAACAUAUCCUCUGUCUGUAGUUGCUGUUUUGAAAAGUAAAAUAGCAUAACGACAGUUCUCUUGCUGCAUACGUUUAUUGGCAGUGGUACAUGGGUGUUAAAAGUGGGGAGAGAAGAGUCUGGGGUAUUGUGUUGAUCUCGCAUUUGCAGUCAAAGUGUAUGUACCCUUGAUAUAAAUAAUCUCUCUUCCUGACAAAUCGAUCUGCAGCAAUCCACCUAAGGUGUGAAGCUUCUUGGUGCUGCAGAAUGUGUGCAGAAGUGGCCUGGAAUCACUUGGGCAAGAGGCAGAUAGAUAGUAGCUUUGGCAUGGAGAAGAGUCCCCGUGUGUGGAGCAUAGCUGGAAGCAGGAGGCUUGUCCUAGCAUGCUCCUCCUGCAGCUUCUGACUGUCACUAGUGGAUAUAAGGGAUCUUUCAUUUCAGUGUUAGGUGUAUUUUGCACGGUGUACUUUCCUCUUACGUAGCAGUGGUGGUCAUGCUCUAUUUGCGGGUGUUGGUUUGCAGUUUCAUUUGGGGUUUUGUUUCACUUAAAGUUUGGUUGUGAAAACUGGAUAGAUCUCAGCUGCUGGCUGUAAUUCUUUCUGCUGAAGUAAAAACGUAAUAAUGCUAGCAUUAGCUGCUUUAGCUAUGAGAAGAGGAUACAGACUGAGAAAAUGUUGAACUUCAGGAGAAAAAUGUCUGCUUCCAGAAAGACUUACAGCCUGUUGCAUCACUGCUUAGGCACAGACAGUAAAGCCUUAAUCCUCCGGUGUCUGAUUCAUGCUAAUUCAGUGUUAAAGAGGCACAGCGCUGUGGUCACUUGGCUACUGAGAUUCUUGAGCCGUUCUGCUUUGCUCAGAUAAAUUCCUAAAUUGUGCAUGAAAACCAAGAAGUUUGUUGCUAAUUGAAUGCUUUCUACAGGCUUGUGAUUUUAGUUUGCAGUUUGUGCAAAGUAGUUUUAAUGUCUUUAUGGUAAUGUUAUAAGAAGUUAGUAAUAAGGUAGCAACUGUGUGAACACCUAUGAAGUGUGAUGCGAGUAUUGACUACCACUAUUGAAAAGAUAUAAAGGAAACAUUGAACAGUGCAUGUGCUACAGCAGUAAAUAAAUCACCUGAAGGACAGUAACUUAAGUCAACAUAUGUUCCUUUUAAGCUGUAGGAUCUGCUACUGCAUGCGAGUCUGUGGGUACUGAAAGGUCUGUAUGUAAGUGGAACUGGUAACACUACCCAUGUUCUCAGCUUUUUAGCUUCCCAGAAAUCUUAAUGAUGAAGUUACAGGUGCUGCGUUUUGUUCUCAAAGGCAGUAGAAUCCGAGCAGGGGAAAUCAUGCUCCAUUCUUGUUUACAUGCUGUAGAAUAAAGGCUCUUGCUUGUGAGAGCUUACCGAAUGUUUUCCAGGCUGUGAUCCUUUCAUGGGAAAGGAGUGUAUCUAAGUAGUGGGUGGGGUUUAAGAAGCUUUUGUUUCAAAAUGAGCCUUUCACAAUUCUUGAUGCUGGUCAGAUUAUACAUACCUCAGCUGUAUGAAAUAGAUGCAACUUAGCCAUGUGUAACAAAGCCUUUUCACACGUAUCUCUUGCAGGCUGGGAAUAGCAUUAACUAGAUCUAGAAGAGACUUGAGUGAAUUCUUCAUAUAAUGCGCGCUCAAGGCUACUCUAAGCUGAAUGUAUGAGUGUGUGCUGCUGCUGUUAAUCGCCUCUAAUUGCAGUAAUGUUUAGGCAAGAAAAGAAGCCACUUGGUUCAAAGGAGCUUUUUGAUGGAAGGUCAACAAUAAUAAGCAGGAAACUAAGUGGUGGGUUCACAUAUACGCAUAACAAAUAAGGGUGAAGGACUGCAUUAAUAAGGGAAGGAAUUGGUGAGUUGAUGAUUUUGAACAGAGCUAAUCUGGAAGUAGAGGGGUUGUUUGUGAAGAACUACCUUCAGCAACUGUGAGUGAAAAGUGAGUCCUGUGUGGGGACCUGCUGAAAUGAAAUGGUUGUCAUCUAAUGGCAUCAAGAAGUCAGUGCAGAACUCUGGGCCUGGAACCACAGAAUUGGCAAAAGAUCACUAAGGUGCUUGAUGGGAUUGUUUGCUUGGCCUUGAGACUGGAGGCGUCAUGGAGUGAUGCUAGAUGGAGGAAAGAAGUCUGUGUCGGUACAACAAAGUGUGGAGCGAUAGCAGUAGGACCGAGCUGAUGGUGACUGCAGGCUUGGCUUGGUGCUGGGAUGCUGCCAGCUCUCUUAAUGAGCUCCAACUGGGAAGUGGGGUGUCAGGACAUGUUGUGGAUGUGGGAGGCAAUACUGGUUUAUGGUGUUACCUAAGCUGCUCUUCUCUGCUCCUGUAGAUUACUGUUCUGACAUCAAAGCUCGGUGCUCCAUCGCUGCAGUUGUGUUGAUGGAUGCUGAGCGCGCGCUCUGAGCAGGAGACCGCUCUGCUCAGUCAGUAGAGCACUCUUUCCCACACCUCAGUUUUUGAGACAGGGCCCAGUGCAGACCCGACUACGAUCCUUCAAAAUAGAAGGGAGCUGUUGUAUGUUGUAGAACAUAAACCUUCCAAGCCCAUGUUGCUACAGAAACAGUUAUUUUAUUCACUUCUAUUCCAACAGUGUAAGUGGGUUUUCACACGUCACAUCAGUGCCUCACAUCAAGGGCUUAAGUAACGAGAAACUAAUCACAAGUUAUUAAUGAAAAAGGCUUCAGGAAUUUCAUCCUUUUGAAAAUCUAAGGCACAGAUAGGGGGCAAAAUCUCAAAGGCAUAUUGUUAAACAUUUACCGCAAGAUGCUAUUAGCUGUAGACUCAUUAGCUUGUCACAAUUUAACAAAACUAUUUCUACAGCAAAUAUGAAGCAGGCUUUGUCCUUUGUUUACAACUUGACAAGGAAAAAAUUAGGCAACAGCAUGUGGCCUAUAAUUACAGACUUUGUUAAACAAGAGGUCUGGUUGUUCAGGCAGCCUGUUCUGAUGCUUCUCAACUUCUUACUGUUUCAUUUUGUAGAGUUACAAUAGAGAUGAGCUGAACUUGAUUUUCUGCAAAUGUUUCUUCUGAGCAUCAAACAUUUCUCACUUUCAUUUCAUGGGUCGAAACAAUGCAAUUAAAACAAUGGGCUUAAUGACAGAGCAAGUCUUGCUUCAUCCCCCACUCCUUUCCGUGGUAGCUCCAGUACUUCACAAGUUACUCCUAAUGCUGGCAGAGAAGCUGAUGUUUACAGCUCAGUCUGACGCUUUUUGAAUACAGUCUUCGGUCUUCUCUAGCAAAUUAGAACCAGAUGGGAACGGUAGGGAGCAGAAUGGAAUUCAAUUCUGUUUUGUGGCUUGUGAUGUUAACAAAACUCUUAGGUUUUUUGAAUUGUUAUUUUGGCAAGAAAAUGGCUGGUAAUCCUUCUGGUCCAGUCACUGUAAUGUGCAGUUUCCUUCCAGUGCAUUGGGCUGUAUGCACUCACUGCGAUGUGUUGCUUUGCUUCCACCAAAGUGGUGGACUGCGGUAUGAGCAUAUUAGAGAUUCUUUUUUUUCCAAGUAAAAGGAUCAAAAAACAGUACAUCCUGACAGGAAAGUGUUUUCUCUGCUCAUCUGGCACUGCUAAUUCUGAAGCAAAAUGCCUUUUCCAGCUCUUUUGUCCUUUUCUCCCUACGCUGCCCUAACUGAAAGUACCUGAAGUAGUAGAGGAAUACAUAGUGGCGUUUGAUGAGGGAGAUGGACUAGGUCACGCCAAACUGAAAUGGUCACGGGCUCUUCAGCACAAACAGGAAAAGGACUUUUUCAUGUAGCUACUGCUGUGCUGCUUAUGCUGGUUGGUGCACUCUCAGGAAGAGAUGCAAUCUGGUGAAUCACAGAAAUGACACUUCCUGUUGGGCUGUGGGGAUUUUCUUACAGCUUUCCUGUGUAGCCACCGGAGCUGGUUUUGUGUAGCCUGUGUGCCCAGACAAGGGCUGCUCAGAGACAGAAGCCAAACAGUUAUACAUAGAGUGUAAUAGUUUCUGACUCAAAGUGUGUGAUAAUUGCAAAAAUAUUGUAGGGUGUGGUAGGAAGUGCUGUGUCUAAUAUUGCUGAAUAGCUGUCACUUCGUAAUUUGCCUAAAAGAACACAGUAUGCUAACUCUAAUUAACGUACAGAGGUGGGGGAAAGCUUUGCUUUUCCCUCAUCAUAUGGAACCUGUUAAUGUGCAAGAAGUUGUUCCAAUACGCUGGAGUUGUAUUGAUUUUUCUUCCAGUUGUUCAAUCUUAAACUCCAUUAUUUCUGAUUUCCUACAGAAAGAGAGUCUGCAUGCAGGAGAGAAAGUUAUAGCUUCAGAAAGGUUACUUGGGGCAGUGAGUAUUGGAAGCAGUGGUAAAACCUCAAAUUACUAUCAGAUUUCACUCGGAAUUGAAAAUAUGUAAUGAAAAAGCAUAGUUUAAAAUAGUCUGUAUCAAUUGACUAUUGUGAAAUACAUAGCUGGUUUUAAACAGUUAUUCUUAGAAAUAUUCCUAACAGUUUCUUACAAUACUGUAUUCCAGUGUCAAAAACAAGACUGAUGCUGUUACCCAGCACACACUCGAGGAGAAUUUAUGUAUAUCCUGCUGCUUUGGUGAUUUUCUUAAUAAACUGAGUGUCACAACUUCAAGAGGUGGACAGACAGGAGAGAGGGUGGUCAUGCUUUCAGGCAGAUAACUUCAAUGCAUGAGAUCUUCAAGAAGAACAAACAUAACUGACACUAUUUUUCAUAGUAAUCCACUCAAUUAAAUCUUGCACUUCUGUAAAGCAGUGGCAUGCUCUGCAGUGCUUAGAAAUAUCAGCCUGCUGCUUUCUGGGAAGCAUAUUCCCCCGGGGCUUAAGUUCAGGGCUGAGUCUAAAGACUCUUAAUGCCUUUAUUGUGCUGUCUCUAUGAUACAACGCAGGCGUUUGUGAUGGAAAUAUUUCUGUGGUCAAGUGGAAGUUCUUUUUUUUUUUUUUGGGUGGUCUGUUAGAUAAAUGGGAAUGCUUUUGAUACGAAUACAGAAGCUUUCUGAAUGUGGAAUAAUGAAAUGAUGCAUUACUCCUGCAUGCAAUUUUGUUACUUCUUACCUGGUGUUGUCUUUUUACCCCAGUGCAAGGUGUGAGCUCUGGAAGAAGAAUCCUUCCUCUCCCAUGUUUUAACCUUUGCUGUACUUGCUCCAGUCCUUAUACAGCAAACUGUUUAUUGUGGUGGACUGUGUUCUGGUGCACCUUCGAGGAAGUGAAAGAGUUAAUGCAGGAUUUGGAUUAGAGGACCGCCUAGAUUUCUCAGUGUAGUAUCUUACAUUCAGCUUCCAAAAGAGACUGUUUCAUAGGAUAAUCUGUGUUUCCCAGUGUUUUGAACCUAAGUGUUGCCACUGCCCUUUGAGUUGUCAUUUCUGGGCUCAGGUGAUCCUAAAACAUGAGCUAGUAUGUAAAGCUCUGCUUGAAAUGCAGUCCUCACACCAUUUUCAGUAAGCAGAACUAAUGCUUCCAUUCCUAAAUGAAGUUCUUGUUUGGAUAAAAAGGGCUAUAUGUUUUAAUUAGAUACAACUAAGGUCCAUGUACCUCGUUUCAGAUACUGAGAUUUUUUUCACAUAUUUUUAAAUGAAAAUAUUCCUUACUGCUGAAUGACAGCCAUGUAAACUGCUGCUAGACUGUGUGAGUAUUUGUUCAAGGAAAAGCAUGUUUUCAGAGUGUGGUUUUCGGACUUCCAGACUGAUUACACAAGCUCAAGAAGGCCCACCCCACAUCCUGUGUAGAAAGCCAGUUCACAGAAAUGCCCAUUGUUCAUCAGGAUUAUAAGUCACUGUACUUUCUGCCCGGUCCCUUUUUCAAAGCACUAUAUAGAAAAUCUUAAUGUAAAUGAACUCCAGCAGCUUAACAAGUGCUUGGUCCUGCCAGGUACUGAGCACUCUGCUCAUACUGAAAUGGAGGGAGGGGGGAAUAAACACACUGGCCUCUCUGGCUAGAAAACAAAGGUGUUGUGUUGAUUAAAAACAGCUGAGGAUGUUCUAUUCUGUGAAUCAAUUGAUAAUUUACGUACUUUGAGCCUGAAAGUUGCAGCAGCCAUGCCGGUAUUUACUUUCUUGGGGAGAAGAGAGGAGUUACAAGGAAUGCAGUUUGCUGCAAGCCUGGUAAAUUUGUCUUGGCAGUGCUUCCUCCCUGCUCACUUGCUAAUGUAAAAGGAGGAUGGGGUGUCUGGGUCUCAUAUCCCACAGUGCUGAGAUCUGUGCUGUUCUACCUACGAGUUAACUGGGCCUACCCAUGAAGAAGGAAGCUAUUGAGUACUCACAGUACUCACUCAGCCUUUUUUUUUUUCCCUGCUUCCCCUAAGCUAUCAUCUUGGAGAAUAUAUUUUUAAAAGGUGAGGUGCAGUUUGUCAUGUAACAUUUUCUAACAGGAAAAAGUGUUUCAAGAUGAAUUUUAAAUCUUAUUCAGUGUGUGUGUGUGUGUGUGUGUGUGUGUGUGUGUAUACAUACAUAUAUAUACACACUGAAUAAAAACACCAAGCACUGAUGUUGCUUGGUAGAGUUCAGUAUGUGUUUAAGACCAAAAUAUCAGUUACAAUGCUGUUGAGCACAGGCCUGCCAGGGGAAUAUUCAAGACUGUAUUUUGCUUUACAGCGGUCCUCUGAAAGGAAUCACCUCUCUCCAGUUGCUGCCAGUCUCCUGACUGUUCAGCAUUCCCCAAACAUGUGGCCCAUAAAAUGGGAUUAUAAGGGAAGGCAUUCAAGUAAGCAGAAGUUCCCUCAGGACAAGAUUUGCUUUCUCAUGUGGAGCUGCUGCAUGCUGCAGCCUGGCUGCUGCUGGCCCCAUCCCUGGCCAGGGCCUGGCACUGCUCCUCCAAGUGAGCCAGCUCUGACGCUGGCAGGGUGUACAGCCUGCCCCUGUCCUGGGGUAUACAGUGUUCUCCUGAAUAGCUGGCACAGCAGACCCCCUUCGCUGUACUUUUGGAAGGGCUCACCUGAUUACGAGUAAGGGGAACUCACCAUUUCUGUGUCUUUUCUGUGUCUGCACGUAGUAGGAAAUGACUGGUCCCGUGGCAUGGAGCUAGCUGCCAAAAAUCUGCAGUGGGCUAUAUCCAGCAGUGACUGUACAGUACUGCUGAAGUGGCCCAGUGUGUUCAUGCAGUAUGUUCCUGGAUAAGUGGCUGGGUUUUUUUUACAUGUGUUUCUUCGAACAGCAGUUAUAUUGGUGGGUAAUAAGGUGAUUAUCUCAGUGAUUGUGUGGUCCUGUCCAGCCUGUUUGUUGAAAGUGCUCAUCCUCAACUUCAGUCUGUAGUUUGAUCGCUCUCGGGUUCUCUGUUGAGUCAAAACAUUACAUCAGCCUCAGUGAGGAGCAUUCCCAGUCCUGCUCCCUCAUGGUCUGCAGCUGGUGCUGGCCCUGCCAAUUCACUCUGUGGUUGCUGCUUAGCAGGAUUAUGCAGCAUGAGAUAUAUCAAGGUACAGAACCUUCAGACUUUGUUCCUUUCAGCGUAUUUUCUUUCACAUUUAAAAAUAAAACCAUGAAUCUCAAGUGUCUUUUGUCCUUCUUUCUGGCCAGGGGAUGUUAGUUGUCACCCCGGCAAUGGUUCUGGUGAUGAGAGAUUGGAAAGAAAACAGUGAAAAUUAGCAACCAUUGGGAAAAGAAUCUAAGAAUAAACUGAGCCCAAAAAGAAUAGUUCUAGAAUGAUGGCAUUCAGUCUAAUGUAUGGAUUGUUAUUAGGAAAUCUACAGAAGAUAU